CUGCACUUGGUACUAGCCUAGAUAUCCAUGCCUAGGUCUGUUCUCAGACUUGGACAUGCCAGGUGGUAUCUGGGUCCCAAAAGUGCCACAUUAAUUGGACCAGAAGCAUUUAAGCUCAUUGUGUUUAGUGACACUCUGGGUUAUAACUUAUUGGCACAAUC